CUUUGAAAUAAAUUAGCUCUUUUGUUUACUUUAAAGCCCUACGAGCAUGAAGACAUCCAGUGUCAGUUAGGCAACUUUUUUUAAACUGUACUUUUCUAAAUAAACCUACGCUACUAUGAAAACUGAAGUUUUUGUUUUUUUGCGGCCCAAAUGAACUUUAACCUUGUUUAUUUGGCCUGUGUUAGCCUUGGAGUUUGACAUGCUUGACCUAGACUGUUGUUGCUAAUCUGGAGGAUAAGGAUCCUUUCAAAAGAUCCCCAGCCUACGACUUAGAAGUCAUAGACAAGUAUGGUGCAGGGUAUUCAAAUGAGGAAUUUUACCCCCGUGACCAAGAUAGGGAUAACAUGUCCUUUCAAUUUGUCAAGGAGACAGUGUUCAUGAAGUUCACCUCCCCUACCUCUGGAGAAGAGCUCAGAUCAGUUGCUAGACACAUGGUUCCAACCCAGUUUAUUGCCUAACUCCUUAGAAUAUGGCUCUAUAAACCACUUGAGAAACAGAUUUGCGCUACCAACAUGAGUUAUCAACAUGGG